GAGAGGUGCUGCAUGGCUGUCGUCGGCUCGUGUUGUGAAAUGUUGGGUUAAGUCUCGCAACGAGCGCAACCCCUAUCGUCUGUUGCCAGCAUUAAGUUGGGCACUCUGACGAGACUGCCUGGGUUAACCAGGAGGAAGGUGGGGAUGACGUCAAGUCCUCAUGGCCCUUAUGUCUAGGGCUACACACGUAAUACAAUGGCGCGUACAAAGGGAAGCGAACUCGCAAGGGGGAGCAAAUCUCAAAAAGCGCGUCUCAAUCCGGAUUGGAGUCUGCAACUCGACUCCGUGAAGUUGGAAUCGCUAGUA
rnacentral:rRNA from 1 species